CCCAUUCCCAAAUCCCAUUCCAAAUCCCAUUCCCAAAUCCCCAGUCCCAUCUCCCCCAUUCCGGGCCCUGUCUGGGAUCCGAGCCCGGCUCCGGGAGGCAGAGCCGGGAGCCGGAUCCAGGAGCCCCGGGAGCCUCCAGAAGUGCCCGGGGCCCAAACCCCAAUCCCAUUCCCAAAUCCCCAAUCCCUUUCCCAAAUCCCAAAUCCCAUUCCCAAAUCCCCAUUCCCAAAUCCCCAAUCCCAAAUCCCCAAUCCCCAAUCCCAAUUCCCCCAUUCCGGGCCCUGUCUGGGAUCCGAGCCCGGCUCCGGGAGGCAGAGCCGGGAGCCGGAUCCAGGAGCCCCGGGAGCCUCCGGAAGUGCCCGGGGCCCAAACCCCAAUCCCAUUCCCAAUCCCAAAACCCCAAUCCCAUUCCCAAAUCCCCAAUCCCAAAUCCCAAUCCCAACUCCCCCAUUCCGGGCCCUGUCGGGGAUCUGAGCCCGGCUCCGGGAGGCAGAGCCAGGAGCCCCGGGAGCCUCCAGAAGUGCCCGGGGCCCAAACCCCAAUCCCAUUCCCCGAUCCCAAUUCCCAAAUCCCAAUUCCCAAAUCCCCUGUCCCAUCUCCCCCAUUCCGGGCCCUGUCUGGGAUCCGAGCCCGGCUCCGGGAGGCAGAGCCGGGAGCCGGAUCCAGGAGCCCCGGGAGCCUCCGGAGCCGCAGGAAGCGCCUGGGAGCCAAAUCCCAUUCCCAAAUCCCAUUCCAAAUCCCAUUCCCAAUUCCCCAAUCCCAACUCCCCCAUUCCGGGCCCUGUCUGGGAUCUGAGCCCGGCUCCGGGAGGCAGAGCCGGGAGCCGGAUCCAGGAGCCCCGGGAGCCUCUGGAAGUGCCCGGGGCCCAAAUCCCAAUCCCAUUCCCAAAUCCCCAAUCCCAUUCCCAAAUCCCAAUCCCAAAUCCCCUGUCCCAAUCCCAAAUCCCGAAUCCCAGCUCCCGCAUUCCGGGCCCUGUCUGGGAUCCGAGCCCGGCUCCGGGAGGCAGAGCCGGGAGCCGGAUCCAGGAGCCCCGGGAGCCUCCGGAGCCGCAGGAAGCGCCGGGGGCUGCGGCGUUUCCUCCCGGAAUGACAAUUCCAGAUGUUCCUCUCCCGGCUCCGGCCGCGCUUCCAAGGAUUUUCCCUCCUCCGGCUGCUGCUCCCGGGGCCGUCCCGGCGGGAUCGGGAGCUGCCGAGCUCCGGCAACGGGAG
rnacentral:lncRNA from 1 species